AACGAACGCUGGCGGCAGGCUUAACACAUGCAAGUCGAACGCAUCCUUCGGGGUGAGUGGCAGACGGGUGAGUAACGCGUGGGAACGUGCCCUUCAGUUCGGAAUAACCCAGGGAAACUUGGGCUAAUACCGGAUACGUGCGAGAGCAGAAAGAUUUAUCGCUGAAGGAUCGGCCCGCGUCUGAUUAGCUAUUUGGUGGGGGAAUGGCCCACCAAGGCGACGAUCAGUAGCUGUUCUGAGAGGAUGAUCCGCCACAUUGGGACUGAGAAACGGCCCAAACUCCUACGGGAGGCAGCAGUGGGGAAUAUUGGACAAUGGGCGAAAGCCUGAUCCAGCCAUGCCGCGUGAGUGAUGACGGCCUUAGGGUUGUAAAGCUCUUUCGUCCGGGACGAUAAUGACGGUACCGGAAGAAGAAGCCCCGGCUAACUUCUUGCCAGCAGCCGCCGUAA
rnacentral:rRNA from 1 species